rnacentral:misc_RNA from 1 species
GAUGAAGAACGUAGCGAAAUGCGAUAAGUAAUGUGAAUUGCAGAAUUCAGUGAAUCAUCGAAUCUUUGAACGCACAUUGUGCCCCCUGGUAUUCCGGGGGGCAUGCCUGUUCGAGCGUCAUUUCACCACUCAAGCCUCGCUUGGUAUUGGGCAACGCGGUCCGCCGCGUGCCUCAAAUCGACCGGCUGGGUCUUCUGUCCCCUAAGCGUUGUGGAAACUAUUCGCUAAAGGGUGUUCGGGAGGCUACGCCGUAAAGCAACCCCAUUUCUAAGGUUGACCUCGGAUCAGGUAGGGAUACCCGCUGAACUUAAGCAUAUCAAUAAGCGGAGGA